rnacentral:rRNA from 1 species
GUAGGGGGCAAGCGUUGUCCGGAUUUACUGGGCGUAAAGAGCGUGUAGGCGGCUAAGCAGGUCUGUUGUGAAAACUGGAGGCUCAACCUCCAAACGUCGACCGAAACCGCUUGGCUAGAGUCCGGAAGAGGAGAGUGGAAUUCCUGGUGUAGCGGUGAAAUGCGCAGAUAUCAGGAAGAACACCAGUGGCGAAGGCAGCUCUCUGGGACGGUACUGACGCUGAAACGCGAAAGCGUGGGGAGCGAACAGGAUUAAAUACCCUGGUAGUCCACGCCGUAAACGAUGGAUGCUAGGUGUGGGGGGUGUCGACUCCCUCCGUGCCGCAGCCUACGCAUUAAGCACCCCGCCUGGGGAGCACGGCCGCAAGGCUA